AGCAGCGGAGCUUUCACUGUGGAGGGGGGGGUGCUGGAGCGCCCUUGCUUUUCUCACCUGCGCAAUCAUUUCGGUUUUGAGCUGGCAGAUUAUAUCAUACUCUCUCGCACACACUUAGGGAAUGUCAACGCAAAGAAUCCCGUGAUUUGACUCAAAUGAACAGAAAGCUAGGAGACACCAGAUCCUCUAGAGCAGCCAAUGUCAGAUCUUUCAUUUUCCUGGAUGCUAUAUCGGAGUGGAGUAGAAGUCCAAGAUGAGCUGGACCCCAGCCUGAGUUUGAGAGAUGGAUUCCCAGGCAGAGGGAAGCAGGGCAGAAAUAAGGUAGGAGACAGGCGUUGGGAACAGUGGUAAAUGUCAAACUCUGAGCCAGCCAGCCAUGGCCAUCCAAUUCCAAGACUGGACCCCACCGAUGAUGGAGGCCACUCCCAGUGCCCCCCUAAUCAGAAUACUUCUGGAGAGACAGCAGCAGCCUUCCUCAGUCUGUUUGUCUCUUUGCCCACCUACGUUGGCAGUGUCAUCCAAUACUGAGUAAAGUUCCCUAUUCC
rnacentral:lncRNA from 1 species